UCCGGUCGCCGCCGUGGCUGCCGCUGCCUUUGGAGCCCGAGGUGAACCCGCGCGGGCUCGGGAUGCUCCAGCGCCGCCGCGGCCGCCUCUCGCCGCCGGCCGGCGUGAGCACCGGCUCCGCCUGGCCGGCCGCACCCGUCAACCGCCGGAGACACCGCCGCCGGAGCUCGCCGUCCGCCGGAAUGGACCCGUGCUCCCCACGGGUUUGGUGGCUAGGGCAUCAUUGAUCGUCGUCGCCGCCUCCUUCCGUCGCCUGCUGACGCGAGCCCCGGCCACCUCGGACCUUCCGCACCAACCCCUGGCCGGCUUGCCCGCCGUCCGGCCGCCGCCGGCCACCCCGUGCCCUGCUAGCUCCGGUAAGCUUAGUUUAGCUUUCCUGCACUGUGAUUGCACUUUCCGGUCACCUUUUCGGUGAUCCGACGACUCCCCGACACCCCAGGAGGUGAGCACGGUGAUCCUGGGUUCGUGCCGAACACGAUGCUCACCUCUGCGAGGAUUAGGGAUGCCCCGGUUAGCAGGUUUAGGUAGAUCUUCGCGCUGUGCGCGCUUAUUCGCUGAACUUCGCGCCGCUCGUGCGCUCCCUACAGUAGCCGGAAUUGCUCCGAAAGGUGAGCACGGCCUCCAGCACAUCGAAACCUGUAAGUAGGUGUCUUAGCUCGACCGAUUGACCUCUGGUUUGCAUAGACGGACCAUAAAAGCCCGAAAAACACAUGAAAUAAUGUGAUUUCUUGGAAUCGGAUGGGCUUUUAUGCAAUUUGACUUGUCGUGGCUGCUGUUGGCAGCAUGGGUGAGCUGUGGGUGACCUCUGGACUGAUUGUCCAAGGCCCCAGACCUUUGAGAAGAUCGGAAAUGUAUUUUCGGUGCGUUUGUCGGCAAAAUCCGCCGACGGAACGCGGUUUUGGUUCGGAAUUAUUCCGACAGUGCUUCGUGAGCUAUUGUGUAGUCGCUGAGCCUUGUUGGCUGGUCACCAUCAUCACAUUGUGGGUUCGGUGAUGAUGGGUGAGCGACGGUGGGUUCCGGUGUCGAAAUAGACACUUCCGGGAACCCGGAUUCGUACAACUAUCCGGUGAUAGUUGUGUAGUGUUGUGAUCUUGUGUUUACUGCCAAAACAUCCAAAUUGGAGUGUUUUGGGGCAGCAGGUGACUCGUGACAUGAGUCGGUGAGUUUCGGGACACUUAGUGGGUCCCGACGGCGUCCCGGUGUGGUUUUCGGGACUUCCGGCGAGUUACGAUAAUCGGUAUUGGGAAACCGAUCUCCGUGGGAUAGUUGUGGGUUAUGCUUUUAGGGUUUCUUAGUUGUGGGUUAGACACUAACCCAGUGGACCCUCCUUAGGUCCGGUUGACGUUCUUUUGCAGUCAGGAGACAGACGCGACAGUUGUACAGGUGGGUACUUCGAUCCGACGUCGGUACAGUGGUGCACGCUCGGUGAUAUUCUUCUAUCCCUGUUCUCCUGUUAUUACUAUUGCUUAGUGUAGCUUAUUGAGCCUUGCACCUCUAUCGUCUACAUCUUACUCUACUCGUUGUUUGCAUGAUUAGUAUCCUGUGUAGGAGUAGAGUAGUUAUACCAUAUUUUCCUGUUGCUCUACUUGCCUGUUCUUCAUACCUUAUAUCAUGUUUAUAGUAGAGCGGUUCCGUGACCAUCUGUGAAAUUAGUGACCUAGUCGGUCGAUUCUAGUAUCCUGUAAUCGUGAUCUACUCGAUCGGUUCCUUGAUUCCUGUUGUUCGAUGACCCUUGAGGUCGGUAUACCCUGAGAGGUGGGAUUGUCGGCUAGUUGUCGACGGAUGAUUAUAGUCUUCACAGAUCCGUCAUUUGACCCUUGUGACCUAGUCUGUCCGUUCUGGAUUCUUGUCGUUUGAUGACCUUUGAGGUCGGUGUACCCUGCGGGGUAGGAUUGUCGGCUAGUGGCCGACGGUAGUUCUAUAUUAUAUACUCAGUUGACUUAUUGAUCAGUAUCUUCAUACUUUUGGUAGGAUGUUGAGUUGUUCCAUCCCAGUGACUUGAUUAGUCAGUACUUGCAUACAGUUGAGAGGAUGUAGAGUCGUUCCAUCCUAUUUGACCUGAGUGGUCGGUUCUUGUGCUUCUUUACAGUCGAUGACCUAUACGGUCGGUGAGCCCUGUGGGCAGGAUUGUCGGCUGGUUGCCGAUGGUUAGUCUUUGAGCAUAUCAGCAUCGAUUGCCCGACUCAUUAGCAUUUCACGAACACUGGCGGUCUGAUCCACCGCAAGGGGUGUUCUUUUCCGGAAAAGUGGUUGCUUGUGUCGACCCGUGAGCCCAGCGGUCAGGACUGGGUUAUAUGCAGGUAGAGUGUUAGUGGGCUUUUGCCUGAGGUCCUUAGACCGACACGGCGGUUUAGAUUGGGUAUUUUGGACUUCUUGUUCGGUUGACGCAUACGUCUAUAGUAGCAGUUGUUUCAUGCAUACUUACAGUUCUUUCUUUAUACUUGUCUUGCUACUAUAGUUUGAUACCCAGGUAUGGUUUAUAUUCUUCUUUACAGUAGCGGUAGUCGUUCUUAUACAUUCUGUUCAUAUAUCAUUGUUGCUACUGUACUUAGUAUAUCUGUUCAUUACCUUGUACAUAUCUUUCGUUUACUAUUGUUCCUACUGUAUCCCCACUGACUCGUUUUGUUGUAUAGUUCUUCCUGAUCCGGUGAGUACUCCUCGCCUUCUUCGGCUUGCGGUACCCACUGGGAGGGGAGACAUGUUUACAUGUUCUCACCUCCCCCACCAUUUUUCAGGUAUCGCGGGCGGUGUGGGUUGAGACGAGACGUGAGACACGUACGUAGCGAUCGAUAGAUCUUCCGACCCAGGUUGUUCGGUUUAGCUCUUACCCUUCUUAUUUCUGUUGAUAAAGCAUUGUUAGCGUAUAUGGUUCAGUAUUUAUUUACAUUUGAAAAUAUGGAUUUUCAUGAAUGUAAUAAACUGGUUUGUGAAUUCUGUAAAGUAAAAGGUUUUCUACCCCUCGUGGUAGCGUUUUUAAAAGAAUAAAGGUUUCUGUGCAGGAAACAGUUUUCAAAAGAUUUUUGUGGAAUUCUGUUUAAACCUUGAAUGUAAAACUGUGAUGUGAAUGGUGAAUGUAUGAAUGUAUAGUUAUCUUUAUAUUCAUUUGGUUGUGGUUGUAUGUAUAUCUAUACUCUGUUGUACUUGUGCGACGCCGUGCAAAUACAGGGGAGACUCUGUCCGUGUGAACAGUGGAUUCCCUGUGUUUGUGGCGGAUCUGGCACUCUGGGGUCAGGUUUUCAAAAAAAAAAAUUUUAUAGCUAAUUUUCCGCUGUGCUUUUGAACAAAAAGGGACCCCGGGGCGUGACAGAUUAAAGUGGUAUCAGAGAAGGGUUACAACCACAACACCAUUCACAGAUUGUUUUGAAAAGUAAAUGAACUGAACCAUUGGUUAGGUUGACCCUUAGAAAGACCUACGGUGUAUAGGCACGUGAGUGCGGGGUUUGGACUUGUGUCCAGGAUUGCAUUCGAGUCGGGUAAACUCGAAGUGCAUGGUUUCUGUAUGUGUUACGAUUCGCACAAGCUGGUGUCUAAGUCGGGAGUAGUGGCGGUGUACUUAUUCGGACAUCGUGUGGUAGAGCGACGUUCCCCAGGUGUUGCCACUCCUGUCAGUUGAGGCCUAGAAGGGCCAAGUGAGAUUUUCGGGCCUAGGCGAGUGUUAUGACUGCCGACGCCCCGGCCACUCUCUCUACUUAGGACACGAGAGCUACUGCGAAUGUCUCUACGGAGACGGUGCUUAGACCAGUCACGGUCGCGACUUCAGUGGUGCUACUAGGGUGUAGCCUAGGGUUUGGAUAGCGGUCGUUUCAGCGACUGCAUUGUUAGCGUUGCUUCUACAGACCUUUGGGUAGGGUUGCGAUGCCUACCUCUCCUUCUUGAUUGCUGAAUGGAAUCAGCGGUUCGAAUCUUUCGACCUUUACCUCGUUCAUUCUUCCUACUAGAGUCGGAUUGACACAGUUUGGUGUCAAGUUUUCGUUGAGGCAUACAUCGUAUGCGGUUAUUCUAACACCUAAAUUGGUGUUGUGGGUUAGUUGUAGUUGGUGAUAGGCCUCGUCUAGAUUCGAGAUAUUUCAUGGUCGUUAUGAUUUCGAAUGUCGACUUGUAAAGUCGAUGUUUCGACAGUAGUGGUUGUGAGCUCUUGGUUUAGUGAAGAGGUAUCAAAUGGCUUGAUACUUCGACGUGUUACACUUCCAACUCGUUGUUGGUAGUGGAUCUUCGGAUAUUUUGCUUUUCUUUUGAUAAGUAUAUUGGCUGCAGACAAUAUACUGUCGAAAGAGGGACGAAAUACCUUUUUUCCUGUUUGGGACUUCUGGAUUGGGUCGACGUGUUUUCUAGACUGUUUUGUGGGAAAAGCUCGAGUGAUAGUCAUCUCUGACCACGUAGCGAGCCUUGGGUUAUUCCUUAGCAGGUUUUGCACAGUGGACUUAUCGUCACUGAUAAAGGGGUUUUUGACUCUAGUUCGAGUCUGGGUGUUCGUAACUCUUUAGUUGUGCUUUCCACAGUUCAAAAGUUUGUUUGGUUAGUAGUCUUGGUUUGUCGUCUUGAGGUUCAGAAUCAGUGGAUGAGUGACUUGAGCCUGGUUGUUGGCUUUGAUUGUCACCAUAUGUGAUAGCGUACAAGGUUUGCGACUUGACUUCUCGUGCAAACCUUGGGUUAGCAUGCUUGUCCGGUCAUUUGAUGACAGGUGCGCCUGGGUCUCAAUGAGACAAGUAAUCGGGUGUUGCUGGGAACAUCGAUCGCUAGGGUCCAUGGCAGGACGACAGCGACAGGGUCUUGUAGAGACAGGUGUUGAGCAUCACCGAUGGUUAGUAUCGCUUUUGCGAUUGGCGACCUGUGCAUCAAGCGAUGGACUUGCAAAGAGCUUUCGGUGGUCUGUGGUAUCGGAUUAAGUUUGAGGAGACAAAAUUGUCUAGCGUAUUUGGUAUUGUCAGUUGGACCUUUUUGGUCAGGUAAAAAGUGAGGUCUUGGACCUAGGACUAUAGAUUGCCGUAAGUGACUAUCCACUGAUGGAGGUUUUGGCAGUUUGUGUGGUUACUGUUGGGAGACUGUGGUCUCCAAGGUGAGAGUUUUGACUCAGGUCUUAGAACAACGUUUCGUAUUCGCUCAUGGUGAGCAGGUUGACGUUGUUGGAUAGUCGGAGUUUUUCGUUUCAAGUCUACGUAAAUAGACUCUAGAUUAAAGUGGUGUUGACUUGAGUCUCUUCUACGUGAACCUUCGACGUAGUUGAGUCGGUUACUGGUGUGCGGACCAAGGUUGAGUAGACCUAGAAUUUCUAAGUGUUGAAAUGUUAUCUCAGAAACGGCAAAUUGGGAUCGAACAAUCCUAGUCGCGGGACUGUCUUUGUCCGCAGGUUAUAGGAUGAUAUUAAUACCGGUGAGCUUUGGUCCGUGGAUUUUGGGUUGGUACAUUUUCCCUCGAUUUGUCCAGGUGGAACCGCAGUCUUAUUUUUCCCCUUAUUCGAAGAUUGAUCUGUCCGCAUUCAUGAAAAUAUAAUUGACCAAUACUCAAGGGUGAUACCACAGUGGUGGAAGUAUUAUUCGAAUUCGAUUUCGGUGGGUAUGUGGUCAAGUUUCGGGGACGAAACUUCUUUUAAGGGGGGGAUAAUGUAAGGACUGAGAUUUUUACAGUGCAACUAAACUCUCUGUUGACAAUGUUUAUGUGUGUAAUUUAAUUACAUAAGCACUCGUCAAGUUUCAGGAGAAAAUGAGCUAAGGUGGAGAAGUUAUGAGACCCGGAAGUUUGACUUAAGUGAAUAGUAACUCCGGUUUUCCGGAGAAGCCACGAAGCAAACUCGGCCUCUGGCGCGUACAGACCUCCAAACAUAGGACUCCAAUAGCUCGUUUCGAACCUCUCGACUAUACUGGAACCACUGGCGCUGACAGAAUCGGAUUCUGAUGCACGGUUAUCGAGAAAAAGGAGUUUUAUCAAAAAGAGGGUUUUUGUUCUGUGCUAUUCGUGCAGUUUAAAGCUCCUCGUACUCUGUGCAUGUGACCUAGAGUUGAGUGGAGGACGUUUCUAGUACCUACUGGUGGUAGGAAGCCCAAAUUUGAAUUUGAAUUAAAGGUUUAGCGAGAUUACACAUUGGUAUAUGUUUGUGGUUUCUGAAAAUUGAGAGCGGACGGAUUUCGUCGUGAAUCGGGGGUCAAAUCGGAUGAAACGAAAUGCUAGAUUCGAUGCCCCCGACGUGCUGAACGCAAUGGUACUGUCGGAUCGAAAAUCCGACUGACGGAUCUCCGGAAAUUACGAGAAGUUCGCUGAGAGGUCGGCGAUGGCAAAACGGUAAUUUCGCAAAAGUCGCGAUAUUUUAUGUACCGUUUCGCGUGGAAUCGCACGUGGAGGGGUGUUCGCGUGUUUUACACGCGCUGUGAAGGACUUAGUAAUAAAUACUGAGGUUUGGUGGACUUAGUUGCAAAGUUGCACCUUAGUAUUUAUGGUAUCUAGGGUUUUCUAGCAUGAAACCCUAACCCUAGACCUAAGCCGCCCCCUAGCCACCUUCCCUUGUCACCCUGACCUGGCCGCGCACCUCCCGGCCGCCGCCGACCGUGCUCCGGCCGGCCACCGCCGCGGCAGCCACCUUUCUUCUUCACCUAUUCUCCAUCUCCCUCUCCAAACCUCUCUUUCUCUCGGGUUAGAGCCAGACCGAGGCUACUUUUCCAUCAAGACACCUUGCCGGCGUCGCCCCGUGUCUCGGCCACCUCCCGCCGACGCGAUCGCCGCCGCCCCGCCAGCCGCCAUCGCCGCCGCGCUGCUGCUUGCUGCCUCCCAGACCGAGCCCAGCCGAGCUGAGUGUGCGGCUUCAUCCUCAUCAGCAGCCGCCUGGGACUACUCCCGCGCCUUCCCCGGAAUCCCGGCAUCCCUCCCCGCCGGCCGCCGCCGCUCUGCGGUAGCGCCGCCGCCGCACGCCAUGGGCGCCGCGCCCAGGCCUGCAGACCGAGCCCAGCUCGAGCGGCAACGCCCGAGCCGCGGGCUGUCGCCGCCGUCACCCGCCGCCUCCUCCUCCCCCUCCGGCUCAGGGGACCCGCCGCCGACGUCCCGACCUCCUCCGGUCGCGCGCGUGGCUGCCGCUGCCUUUGGAGCCGCGAGGUGAACCGCGCGGGCUCGGGAUGCUCCAGCGCCGCCGCGGCCGCCUCUCGCCGCCGGCCGGCGUGAGCACCGGCUCCGCCUGGCCGGCCGCACCCGUCACCCGCCGGAGACACCGCCGCCAGGAGCUCGCCGCCGGAAUGGACCGUGCUCCCCACGGGUUUGGUGGCUAGGGCAUCAUUGACUUCGUCGCCGCCUCCUUCCGUCGCCUGCUGACGCAGCCCCGCCACCUCGGACCUUCCGCACCAACCCUGGCCGGCUUGCCGCCGUCCGCCGCCGCCGGCCACCCCGUGCCCUGCUAGCUCGCGUAAGCUUAGUUUAGCUUUCCUGCACUGUGAUUGCACUUUCCGGUCACCUUUUCGGUGAUCCGACGACUCCCCGACACCCCAGGAGGUGAGCACGGUGAUCCUGGGUUCGUGCCGAACACGAUGCUCACCUCUGCGAGGAUUAGGG
rnacentral:lncRNA from 1 species